GACGAACCGUGCGAACGUUGUUCGGAAUCACUGGGCUUAAAGGGCGCGUAGGCGGGCACGCAAGUCGGUGGUGAAAUCCUCCGGCUCAACCGGAGAAGAGCUGUCGAUACUGCGUGCCUCGAGGGGUGUAGGGGCCUGUGGAACUUUGGGUGGAGCGGUGAAAUGCGUAGAGAUCCAAAGGAACGCCGGUGGCGAAAGCGACGGGCUGGACACCUUCUGACGCUGAGGCGCGAAAGCCAGGGGAGCAAACGGG
rnacentral:rRNA from 1 species